ACCUUAAUUCUCUUUCCCAUCUUGCAAGAUGGCGGGUGAAAAAGUUGAGAAGCCAGAUACUAAAGAGAAGAAACCCGAAGCCAAGAAGGUUGAUGCUGGUGGCAAGGUGAAAAAGGGUAACCUCAAAGCUAAAAAGCCCAAGAAGGGGAAGCCCCAUUGCAGCCGCAACCCUGUCCUUGUCAGAGGAAUUGGCAGGUAUUCCCGAUCUGCCAUGUAUUCCAGAAAGGCCAUGUACAAGAGGAAGUACUCAGCCGCUAAAUCCAAGGUUGAAAAGAAAAAGAAGGAGAAGGUUCUCGCAACUGUUACAAAACCAGUUGGUGGUGACAAGAACGGCGGUACCCGGGUGGUUAAACUUCGCAAAAUGGUAAGAUGUGGGGACUGUAAAUUGGAUUUUCUGUUUAUGCUUGAAUACUGUGAAGAUGUUUUUGAAUACUUAGAUACUGUAAGUUUCUGCAUACCGGAGAAUUUCUGAUAGAAAAUAAAGGGCUCUGGGUUUGUAACUUGGCUUCAACAUUUACUGUUAAUCUUAAGUAAUUUAAAUUACUCGUCUGUGCUUUGUUCCUUUGCAUAUAAUAUGGGAAUG
rnacentral:lncRNA from 1 species